rnacentral:misc_RNA from 1 species
AACUAACGCUAUUAUUGAUACAGUUUCUGUACUUUAUUGGUACGCAGCGCUUCCGGAUGCGUCCGAACGGUCGUGUUCUGGUAAAUUUUGGGAAGAGGAUCUUCGGAUCC